GAAAUGCGAUAAGUAAUGUGAAUUGCAGAAUUCAGUGAAUCAUCGAAUCUUUGAACGCACAUUGCGCCCCCUGGCAUUCCGGGGGGGCAUGCCUGUUCGAGCGUCAUUACACCACUCAAGCCUGGCUUGGUAUUGAGCGCCGCGGCCUGCCCGCGCGCUCCAAUGUCUCCGGCUGAGCCGUCCGUCUCUAAGCGUUGUGAAUAGCGAUCGCUUGCGAGGCCCGGGCGGUUCGACGCCGUUAAACCCCCCAUUUUCUAUGGUUGACCUCGGAUCAGGUAGGGAUACCCGCUGAACUUAAGC
rnacentral:misc_RNA from 1 species